UCUUAUUACAAAAUCUUAAUAAACACAUUUAUUUUGUAGAGGAAAUAAAUGGUUUCAAGAAAUGUAUUGAUCGCUAUAUUCUUAGUUACGAUUCUUGUUAUUUCCUCACGAGUUGGAGAUGCUCGAGAACUCUCUGAGAAAUCAAAUAGAGAUUCAUUAAACGAAGUUGAGCAGCUAGAUGAUGAUCAAUAUGAUUGCGGAGUGCCCGGCUGUUGUGGAAGCGACAAAGAUAGAUUUUGCCGCUGCUGCCGUUAACAAUUUGUCAUGUUAUUGAUUUAAAUUUUAUUAUUGUUUCUGGAAUUUCAACUAUAUAUGUAGCUUACUUAAUUAAUAAACUGGUAAUAUUGAAAUUA